UUGCUACUUUGCUGACGAGCGGCGGACGGGUGAGUAAUGCUUGGGAACAUGCCUUGAGGUGGGGGACAACAGUUGGAAACGACUGCUAAUACCGCAUAAUGUCUACGGACCAAAGGGGGCUUCGGCUCUCGCCUUUAGAUUGGCCCAAGUGGGAUUAGCUAGUUGGUGAGGUAAUGGCUCACCAAGGCAACGAUCCCUAGCUGGUUUGAGAGGAUGAUCAGCCACACUGGGACUGAGACACGGCCCAGACUCCUACGGGAGGCAGCAGUGGGGAAUAUUGCACAAUGGGCGCAAGCCUGAUGCAGCCAUGCCGCGUGUGUGAAGAAGGCCUUCGGGUUGUAAAGCACUUUCAGUCAGGAGGAAAGGUUAGUAGUUAAUACCUGCUAGCUGUGACGUUACUGACAGAAGAAGCACCGGCUAACUCCGUGCCAGCAGCCGCGGUAAUACGGAGGGUGCGAGCGUUAAUCGGAAUUACUGGGCGUAAAGCGUACGCAGGCGGUUUGUUAAGCGAGAUGUGAAAGCCCCGGGCUCAACCUGGGAACUGCAUUUCGAACUGGCAAACUAGAGUGUGAUAGAGGGUGGUAGAAUUUCAGGUGUAGCGGUGAAAUGCGUAGAGAUCUGAAGGAAUACCGAUGGCGAAGGCAGCCACCUGGGUCAACACUGACGCUCAUGUACGAAAGCGUGGGGAGCAAACAAGAUUAGAUACCCUGGUAGUCCACGCCGUAAACGAUGUCUACUAGAAGCUCGGAGCCUCGGCUCUGUUUUUCAAA
rnacentral:rRNA from 1 species